rnacentral:snRNA from 2 species
GUCCUUGCGCUUGGGGCAAUGACGCAGCUAGUGAGGUAGCACCGAGGCGCGUCAAUUGCUGGUUGAAAACUAUUUCCAAACCCCCUUUGUGGUAGAAUUUUUGGAAGGGUUACCCUCUAACC